AAGCAAGGACUGUUUUUAGCAAGGUCUUCAAGAUCUACUACAUAGACGUUACCACGUCUAAUUCCUUUAAAUACUAAUCCAUUGUCAAUUGAGUUGGUUAUGAUGCAUAAAGAUGGCUUAAACAAAACAUCAAAACCUCUAUCACAUAAUUGACUAACGCUAAGUAGGUUAUGCUUAAGACCAUCUACAAAUCGUACAUUAUC
rnacentral:lncRNA from 1 species